ACUAUAGCAGUGCUACAGUGCUCGGUACACCUGAGUGUACCGCUCGGUACACCUGGGUGUACCGCUCGGUACACCUGGGUGUACCGAGCGGUAUACCGUACCGUACCGGUACCGAGCCCGGGUCGAAACGCCGGUACGGUACGGUACGGCGAACCUUGGUCCUUAGUAAAGGCUUGUCCAUGCACAACUUGCUCACCUCACUACCCUCCCUGCUUCCCUUACCCAAAAGUUUCCCUCCUAUUUAUUCUUUUUUUCUUUUGACAGGA
rnacentral:lncRNA from 1 species